UACGUAGGGACCGAGCGUUGUCCGGAAUCAUUGGGCGUAAAGAGCGUGUAGGCGGCCAAUUAAGUCCUGCGUGAAAUCUCGGGGCUCAACCCCGAGCGGUCGUGGGAAACUGGUUGGCUAGAGUGCGGGAGAGGAGAGUGGAAUUCCUGGUGUAGCGGUGAAAUGCGCAGAUAUCAGGAAGAACACCGGUGGCGAAGGCGGGUCUCUGGGCCGAUACUGACGCUGAGGAGCG
rnacentral:rRNA from 1 species